UACGAAGGGGGCUAGCGUUGCUCGGAAUUACUGGGCGUAAAGGGCUCGUAGGCGGCCAACUAAGUCGGAUGUGAAAUCCCCAGGCUUAACCUGGGAAUUGCAUCCGAUACUGGAUGGCUUGAAUCCGGGAGAGGGAUGCGGAAUUCCAGGUGUAGCGGUGAAAUGCGUAGAUAUCUGGAGGAACACCGGUGGCGAAGGCGGCAUCCUGGACCGGCAUUGACGCUGAGGAGCGAAAGCCAGGGGAGCAAACGGG
rnacentral:rRNA from 1 species